UAUACGUUGAUGUAAAGUGCAUAAAAAGUUUUGAUCUUUAAAGAAAUGGUGCGAUUCCAUUACGUUUAA
rnacentral:tRNA from 3 species